rnacentral:lncRNA from 1 species
AUGGAGCAGGUGCAGAUGAUCAAUGUGCAGUGCCUGCUGGAGACCGUGGAAUUUUUGGAGCUCAGGUAGCGAGAGUGUGAACAUGGCUAUGUCUCAUGUUUCCCCUCCAUGCCGAACCCCUGGCUACAGCACUUGAAGCCCCCCACAGAGGUUGAGCCGGCACAGAAACAUAGCAGUGGGAGCAGCAACACCAGCACUGCCAACAGAUCUACACACAAUGAGUUCAAAAAGAACCGCCAAGCUCACCUGCGCCUGUGUUUAAAACGCUUGAAAGCUCUGAUCCCGCUGGGCCCAGACUGCACCAGGCACACAAGACUCGGUUUGCCCAACAAAGCCAAAGCACACAUCAAGAAACGUGAAGAAGCAGAGAGCCAGCACCAGCUCAAGAACUUGGAACGAGAGCAGAGAUUUUUAAAGCAGCAGCUAGAUGCAAGUGCCUCAGGAGAUGGAAUGGAUACGAAUGGACAGCAUUAGAUCAACCAUCUCUUCAGAUCGCUCGGAUUCAGAGUGAGAGGAGAUUGAAGUGGAUGUGGAAAGCCCAGAGUUCUCCCAUGGAGAAGCAGACAGUGUCAGUACCACCAGCAUCAGUGACCUUGAUGACCACAACAGCCUGCAGAGUGUUGGGAGUGAGGAGGAUUACUCCAGUACCAGUGCCAAACUCUCCUUCCCA